rnacentral:rRNA from 1 species
GACAGAGGGUGCAAACGUUGUUCGGAAUCAUUGGGCGUAAAGCGCGUGUAGGCGGCUUGGCAAGUCAGUUGUGAAAGCCCGGGGCCCAACCCCGGAACUGCAUCUGAAACUGCCUGGCUAGAGUCCCGGAGAGGAAGGCAGAAUUCCCGGUGUAGGGGUGAAAUCCGUAGAUAUCGGGAGGAAUACCAGCGGCGAAGGCGGCCUUCUGGACGGUGACUGACGCUGAGACGCGAAAGCGUGGGGAGCAAACAGG